AAAAUUUUUAAAGGUGCUAAGUGAAAACCAUUUAGGAGACUAGUAUAUCUCUCUCAAAGCCCUAAAAUCCCUAAUACUCAUUGCGUUAAAAGCAUGACAACAACAAAGCCUUUUAGAUCUGGUUGAUGAGAUAAAUUUGAUAGUGAUGACAUGGAUAUUCACCGCUAACAUAUUUUAGGAUGGAUUAAAGAAGUAUGGAACAAAUGGGAGAAAAAUUACAUGCUAAGUAUGUAAAAGUUAGCCAAUCCAAGAGGCUCUUAAGAUUGUGCUUAAGGGGGUAAACAAGAGAAAAUGAGAGUGGUUGAUAGAGGAACAUUUUUCUACAUAAAGUUUUCAGGUUAUGAAAAAACACAAGUUUUUGAGAAGCAAAUCUUUGAGGACAAACAGAUUGACCAUCAUUAUGAAUGUCGGGAAAAUAUUAUAGUACAAUUUAAGGAUAUUAGCUAUAUAAGAUUUUGCUAAGGGUUAUGUACAAAAUAUUGUGACUAGCUUACACCAUUGAUGUACAGUUACUUAGAAACUGAUGCUUAUCAUCUUUCGUACCUACUUUUUCAAUAUAUA